CGCCGCUCUGCGCCCGCCGGGAGGGGGCCUGGGGGCGCCCGGGGCCCGGGCGAUGCCCCCGCGGAGCCUGAGCCUGCUGGGCCCCGCCUCGCGGUCGCAGCCCUGGCCCUGGGCCUCCCCGUUGGCGGCGCGCGGCCGCACAGAUGCGGGGGGCUCGUGCAGGAACCUCACCUGCCUGAGAGCGCUGGUUCUGCUUUCAAGAGGAUCCAACUGGAAGUGGCUCUAGAAAGCCAACCAUCAGGAUGGGAUUCUGGAACUGGACAACAUUUUUGGUCAUUCAGCAACAAGGGCCUGUUGUUCCUUUAGGUGGAGAGUGAUAGCUCCUUGGGUGCUGAAGCAUUAAAAUCACUAAGACAUAGUGUGAAUUGCAGUAAGGAAUGGAUGGAGGGGAAUUGCUAGAUCAUGCAGUAAAACUUGAAUGAAAUGUGAGUAAGGGUGAUUAUAAGGAUUUUGGAAUUAGCUGCUUUUGCUGAGUGCCCAGGGAACCUUGAAGAAAAAGAAUGGCAGGCUCCAUUCAGCCAACUAAUAAUAUAGGGCUCAGUGAGAAAGCUUCUGGCCUCCUUGUCACUGUUUGAAGAACUCUCCUCCUGGUGUUACAGGAAGACUAUUGAAAACUGGGACAAGUAUUUAACCAUAUGGUGCCAGAGCUGCUAGACUACGGGCCCUGAUAGGGAAGGAGUGAGACCUUAGAAUCUGGGGCCUGGACACUUGGGUGGUUAUAUCUGAAAAUCUUGAACCCCCAGAUUUACCUGAUUCCUCUAACCAGUGAAAGAAGCCCUAUGCCCUUGAAAGUAGCCUCCUCUUGGGGCACCUGGGUGAUUCAGUGCUUGAGCAUCUGCCUUUGGCUCAAGUCAUGAUGCCAGGGUCCUGGGAUUGAGUCCCGCCUCAGACUCCCCACAGAGAGCCUGCAUCUCCCUCUGCCUAUGUCCCUGCCUCUCCAUCUCUAAAAAAUUUUAAAAAAGAGAAGAAAAAGAAAAAGAAAAAGAAGAAAGAAAGAAAGAAAGAGAGAAAGAAAGAAAACAAAAGAAAGAAAGAAAGAAA
rnacentral:lncRNA from 1 species